rnacentral:rRNA from 2 species
ACGCUGGCGGCGUGCCUAAUACAUGCAAGUCGAACGAACUCUGGUAUUGAUUGGUGCUUGCAUCAUGAUUUACAUUUGAGUGAGUGGCGAACUGGUGAGUAACACGUGGGAAACCUGCCCAGAAGCGGGGGAUAACACCUGGAAACAGAUGCUAAUACCGCAUAACAACUUGGACCGCAUGGUCCGAGUUUGAAAGAUGGCUUCGGCUAUCACUUUUGGAUGGUCCCGCGGCGUAUUAGCUAGAUGGUGAGGUAACGGCUCACCAUGGCAAUGAUACGUAGCCGACCUGAGAGGGUAAUCGGCCACAUUGGGACUGAGACACGGCCCAAACUCCUACGGGAGGCAGCAGUAGGGAAUCUUCCACAAUGGACGAAAGUCUGAUGGAGCAACGCCGCGUGAGUGAAGAAGGGUUUCGGCUCGUAAAACUCUGUUGUUAAAGAAGAACAUAUCUGAGAGUAACUGUUCAGGUAUUGACGGUAUUUAACCAGAAAGCCACGGCUAACUACGUGCCAGCAGCCGCGGUAAUACGUAGGUGGCAAGCGUUGUCCGGAUUUAUUGGGCGUAAAGCGAGCGCAGGCGGUUUUUUAAGUCUGAUGUGAAAGCCUUCGGCUCAACCGAAGAAGUGCAUCGGAAACUGGGAAACUUGAGUGCAGAAGAGGACAGUGGAACUCCAUGUGUAGCGGUGAAAUGCGUAGAUAUAUGGAAGAACACCAGUGGCGAAGGCGGCUGUCUGGUCUGUACUGACGCUGAGGCUCGAAAGUAUGGGUAGCAAACAGGAUUAGAUACCCUGGUAGUCCAUACCGUAAACGAUGAAUGCUAAGUGUUGGAGGGUUUCCGCCCUUCAGUGCUGCAGCUAACGCAUUAAGCAUUCCGCCUGGGGAGUACGGCCGCAAGGCUGAAACUCAAAGGAAUUGACGGGGGCCCGCACAAGCGGUGGAGCAUGUGGUUUAAUUCGAAGCUACGCGAAGAACCUUACCAGGUCUUGACAUACUAUGCAAAUCUAAGAGAUUAGACGUUCCCUUCGGGGCAUGGAUACAGGUGGUGCAUGGUUGUCGUCAGCUCGUGUCGUGAGAUGUUGGGUUAAGUCCCGCAACGAGCGCAACCCUUAUUAUCAGUUGCCAGCAUUAAGUUGGGCACUCUGGUGAGACUGCCGUGACAAACCGGAGGAAGGUGGGGAUGACGUCAAAUCAUCAUGCCCCUUAUGACCUGGGCUACACACGUGCUACAAUGGAUGGUACAACGAGUUGCGAACUCGCGAGAGUAAGCUAUCUCUUAAAGCCAUUCUCAGUUCGGAUUGUAGGCUGCAACUCGCCUACAUGAAGUCGGAAUCGCUAGUAAUCGCGGAUCAGCAUGCCGCGGUGAAUACGUUCCCGGGCCUUGUACACACCGCCCGUCACACCAUGA